rnacentral:misc_RNA from 1 species
AAGCAGAAGAAAAUAGUCAAGUUAAUCCAAGACCUCAACUCCUCCAUACAAAAUGUCCCCAUUAACCCACCUCCUCACGAUUACUCUGCCACCGAGUCUCCCUCAGGACUUGAUGGGGACAGACAGGAGGAGAUGUCUGUGGAGUCUGUGAUCAGUGAGGCCCUGGACAAGAACCAGGGUCUGAUGUCUCAGGGUGGGGACCAGAGGGUACAGACACUGCCCGUGUCGACGUUCGACGGUUCCCAGAUGUCAGAGUCCACAGUGGUGACAAUAGCGGAGGUCCUGGAUAACGGCCAAAUCCAGACAAUCCAGACGGACGACUGUGUGCCGGUUGAGUACCUCCACAUCAUAGAGGAGCUGGCACCUGAAUCUUUGGAACAACAGGUGGUGGAGGUCCACUAUCAGGAUUCGGAACACCAGGGGGAGCUCCACACUGAGCAGGGAAUCCCCAAACCCCUGGAGGAUCCCCCCACCGUGACCCCAUCAGCAUCUGACCAGACCUCAGACACCGCCGCGGUGGAUUAUGCCAGUAACCCCGACUUCAGCAGCCAGGCGUACUAUAACUGGUUGUGCAGCUUCACAGAGCUGUGUAAAGUCAUGCCCAUGCCGCUGGACGUAUCCCUUUUCCAGAAAAUCAGCCAGGUCCACAAACAUUUGUCUGACGUCAUGGCAACACCCUCAGGUGUCGUGGCAGACAAGGAGAAUUUCAAGACACUCAUGAACAUCUCUAAAGAACUGAACACCAUCAUUAAUGAGCACUUGUUUUACGUCAUGCAGAAUCUGGAUGCCAUGGAUGAGAAGUAGUGACCAGUUUUUGAGUUUACUCUUCAUUGCUGCUAUCGUUGUAUUUGAUCAGGUUUUGUUGAGAAAUUAUGUGUCUGAUAUUUAAAUCUGUGGCAAUCAAACUGACUCAUUCUCCAGAAACUAUAAUUUAUUUUGUAGUUAUGUAAUCAUUAUACAUUUGUUAUUUGUUUUAACGUGUUAAAAAUGGAUUAAACACAAUUG